GGUAAUAUUGGGUGGCUGGAAAGUUGAACACUUGACAAUUUGGCUUUGGAGCAGGGAAAGGCAAAAGGAAAAUGGAAAAAAUUUCUGCUUCACCCUACUGUGUCUUCCAGGUGAUUGCAACUGGCACUCCCCAAAGUUUAUACUAUGGAAGGAUACUGGUUUACCAGUUUGUGCUGAUCUUGUGCUUUUUAUUAUUUCAUGGUUCUGAGGAAGUUAAAAGCCAUGAUACCAUUAAAGGUGAGAUGAAUUAUUACUUUAAAGUUCAAGCCAAAUUUAUGAUAGAGUUUUCCAAAAAUGUAUAAAGAAUCAUUCUUAUAGGUUCCUGUUUCAAUGAAUUGCUCUUUAUUUCCCAUGCAGAACUCUGUAAAUAUUUGACUUUCUUCAGAGUUUGGAAUGUGCAAGUGUGAUUUAUUAUUUCUAAUGACUGGAAAGAGGUUUGAUAUCUGCAAACAAAAGGUAUGAGUUGAAAGAGAAUGCAUAACAAUAUGUUUCUUUGUAAGUAGUGGGCAGAACUCAUCUAAGAAGAAAAAGAGUGAUUCUCAAGAUGAUUUGUCCUUCAGUAAUUCCCAAGAGGUUCCACAAAUAAAAUCAUACAGAUUUUGUCUUUCUGUCUGACUUAUUUGACUUAGAGUAACACCCUCUAUGCCUACCACCUUGUCACAAAUGAUGACUGUGGUGGUGCCCGCAAGUACACAGCUGGCUAUGGACCUGGAGUCAGAUGUAAAGCUAUGACAGGUAGUAUGGGGGAUAGAAAGGCUGCCUUACUUGCUGCUCGUAAAAAUCAGCUCACAUUUCCCUCCCUCUAAACAUGGAAACAUGUCUGUCAACACUCUUAAAACAUUUAAAACAUGGUGGGAUUAUGAAUUAAUAAUUAAAAUCCAUUCAUCUUUCAAUCAAUAUGUAUACUGAGCACAUCCUAUGGCAAGAAACACCCUCAUCAAUUGUCUCCACACAUUGCUGUGUGUGUUCUUUCCUCCUCUGUUAUUCUCUUCUUUCUUCUUUUAAGUAGAUGGUUUUUGUUUCUUCAAGGUUUUUUCUUUACUCCGCAGGAGGUAAAGCAACCUCUUCUCAAAAGAUUUUCUGAAAGAUUAUGCUCACAAAUAGUGGACAGUGGGGGAGAGAGAAAGACUUGCAGUGUCACCAAGAAAGAAUGGUCCCUGAGUAAAAACUCCCAGGAAAGAUUCUCAGGCGUCAAGCAUGGCACAGAGCAGACAGGGGCCAUGUGAGACAAUGUGAGAAGGGAAAAUGGGGUUUUUCCCAGUAACCAGUGUGUACUAAAACCAGGAUGGGCCUCUGAAAUGUCCUGGGACAGAAUAAUACACCCCACUCAGAUUUGUGUGUGAUGUUAAGGAAAGGAUGACAAGCCCUAGUAAUAAUUAUUAGAAUUUAAAUUCUCUACAGAUUGGUGAGAUUUGGAAUUCAUUUGAUUAAACAGGGUUGGAUUUAAGUUGAUUUAAAUAAAACAAACCAAUGCUCUAUUUCUUGCACAUUUGGAUUCAUAGAUUAAGGCCUUUUUACCUACUAUCAUGCUAGGGAACACAAAUUUAAGCAAGUGAUUACUGUUGUGAAUCAGCUGAUCAGUGAAGGAAGAAUGCAGGAUACUUUGGAAACACAGAACUGAGGGCCCAGUUAGGAGUGUGCUGGGGAAGGUGGGUGGGGAAGGAAAACAAUCUCUGCAUGCACAUUUUAGCUGUUAUCUCUAGGAUAAAUGAUACUUAGCUUGGUUAAGGCGAUGCUGAAGGUUGUAGGGUGUGGCAGACAAUGAACAAUAUACAGAAACAUCCUGAGGUGGAACAGAGCUUGGAUCCUCCAGUGUGGCCAAUGCCUGAGAGCAAAGGACAGAAUGGCCAAUGCAGAGGACAAAGGAGGCAUGUGCUUCAGGUUGUGUGGGGCCUGCCAGACCAUAUUAAACAAUGAUAAUAAGAGAGUGGAGAUCCACUGAAAGAUUUUAAGUAGGGGAGUGAAAGAAAAGAUUUGAAAUUUUCUAAGAUUAACUUUGACCACAGGUUGAAGAAUAAAUUAAAGUGACAAAGAGGAUCUCGAGGACCAAUAUAUGAUUACCGUUGGUUGGACUAGCUUGGUGCAGGAAGAAUGGUGAAAAGUUGAUAAGAGAUUUUUAGGAAAUUGAGUCAAUAGACCCUAACAAUCUAAUGUUGAGGUGAGGGGCAUGAAGUACAGGAGUAAAGAGUGAGAAAAUUUCCUACAUUUUUGGUCUGAGCAACAAAACAAAGGAUGUGAAAUUAUGGAAUUAGGAAGCACCAGUUAAAGAGCACGUUUUAGGGUUCAUUCUUAGCACAUGUUUGACCUGAUUUGGAGACACCUAAGCUUUUAUAUGCAUGUUGUAGCAACUACAUUAUUGAACCUAAUAAGAAUAAUUCAAUAUUAGAUUAAAGGUGAUUGUAAUGAGUGAUGAUAAAUUAAAAGUAGAUGAUUUCAUUUUGUUGGACACAUAAAAUGUUAAAUUUAAGAGGGAAUUAAACUGCAUGUGAGCAAUUACUGACAAAGUUAACAACCUUGACUAAGAAACAGACUGAAGAUAGAUGGUGGCAUGAAUAAAAUUUCCUCAGAUUUUCAAAUGACAACAAGAGGCUGGUGGAAGACACACUUCUGAACUGCCAAACACAACACCUUAAAACUAAAGGACAUCAACUCAUAAGAUAUGAAGUUCUCCCUUGAUUUCAGAUGUCUUGGGCUUGUAAAUCAUUAACAGUGGACAUUUCAUUACAUAUCAUGAAGACAGCUCAGUCUGCACAUCUCCACAAGUCUGACCGCUUCAAGUGUGUCACCUCCAGGAAUGAUGAACUGAAUGAAUGUGUGGUUUUUGAUCAAAAAGGUUUUUGCAUCUUUGAAUUGUAAUGAAAGUGGUGGUUGUUAAGUUUGUUCCCUCUGUGCCCUCUGCCUUUUAAGGCUAGCAUUACAAAGCCAGCCAUUUGACUUCUGGCGUAACUUUAUCAUAAAGCUUGCCACAGAUGGAAGAAUCCAGAUCGUCUUUCCUUUCUGUUGUAUGGGAGAUCACGGUGGAGACUGCAUGUUCACAGAACCAUAGCUUUUUCAUGAAGGAAAGGGAAAUAGAAUAGAUUUUUCAGGAAGUAAAACAGUGGAUAACUAAUAAGAGAUUAUUGGCAGGCUAUCAGGAUCUCUUUGUCAAGUGGUCAUGGAAAGACACUGUGAGAAGCCAGGCAUGGGUGCCUUAAGAUUCUGUGAGGUCUGUUGUCUUGAAACACCUUGUAUGUUUCUUAAUGACACUUAUUGUGCUCUACCUUAUAGUAUAGUUAAAGGACAAGUUUUCUCCCUUCUAGAUGAUAAGUAUAAACUGCAAAUAGCA